rnacentral:piRNA from 1 species
UAAAAGAUUAGUGGGAACUAACAAGGAGA